UACGUAGGGAGCAAGCGUUGUCCGGAUUCACUGGGUGUAAAGGGUGCGCAGGCGGACUGGCAAGUCAGGGGUGAAAUCUCACGGCUCAACCGUGAAACUGCCUUUGAUACUGCUAGUCUUGAGUUAGGGAGAGGUUGAUGGAAUUCUAGGUGUAGCGGUGAAAUGCGUAGAUAUCAAGUGGAACACCAGUGGCGAAGGCGAGUCUCUGGACAUUUCCUGACGCUGAGGCACGAAAGCCAGGGGAGCAAACGGG
rnacentral:rRNA from 1 species